rnacentral:rRNA from 1 species
AGUGAACGCUGGCGGCAUGCCUAAUACACGCAAGUCGAGCGAACAGACGGGGAGCUUGCUCCUCUGACGUUAGCGGCGGGCGGGUGGGUAACACGUGGAUCACCUACCUCUAAGUCUGGGAUGACUUCGGGGGACCGGAUAUACUACCAGCUCAUAUGUUCUACCGCAGGAUUCAAUGGUUCAAGACGCUUUUGCUGUCACUUUUAGCUGAAUCCGCGCCGCAUUAGCUAGUUGGUAAGGUAACGGCUUACCAAGGCAACGAUGCGUAGCCGAUCUGAGAGGGUGAUCGGCCACACUGGAACUGAGACACGGUCCAGACUCCUACGGGAGGCAGCAGUAGGGAAUCUUCCGCAAUGGGCGAAAGCCUGACGGAGCAACGCCGCGUGAGUGAUGAAGGUCUUCGGAUCGUAAAACUCUGUUAUUAGGGAAGAACAAAUGUGUAAGUAACUAUGCACGUCUUGACGGUACCUAAUCAGAAAGCCACGGCUAACUACGUG